AUGGUGUGGUGCGUGGUCGCUGGUGAGAAUAUGCUUAAGGUUGGCGGGUUGUCUGUGGGUGAGGACUGGCCUGCCUCCCAAGGUCUGUGAAGUGAGGGAUCAUUGUCCAGGAUGGGUUGUAGAUCAAAGUAAAAUAGUGGCAUGCAGCUGAAAGGAGCCAAACAUCUCUUUAGUUUGAGAAGUGGAGAGAGAUGAAACUUGUUAGCAAAAUGUCACUGAUACUUUGGGCAUCACAGUACAUAUCAAAACCCUUGAUAAACAGCUUGCAAAGAAAUUCUCUCCUAAAAAAGAUUUGGGAAAGGCUUUUGUGUUGCUAGACGUCAGAUGCUCUUCGCCCUUGGAAACAUAAUUCUCUGGAAUUUGGCAGUGGGUUGGGAAUUAACAGUAGUGCCAGUUAUGAGGGUGUGAGGACUUGCAUCUUGUAUGUGAUGUUUCAACAUAUGAGUCUUCCAGAGAAAGAGCAACUUCCUUAAAGUCUAAUAUACAAACCCCCACGAUCUUAUGCUUACUAGUACUGACCUCUUGAGCAAAUAUGCUACUAAAACAUUGAAUUCCACUUCUCACUGCUUUGAGCUGAGACGCUUUCAGGGAUUUUAAUCUGCAUCUCAAAACUGUAGGGAACGGACUGCCUCACAAAGCAGCUUCAACCUUUUUUCUUAAGGUUCUGUACCUUUUAUGAGAAGUUGAAGUGGUAUAUGGGAGACAAACGUUGAACUUUCUAGAUGCUUGUUUUUAAUGGGGCUUUUGUGGUUCUUGAUAUUUUAGUUUUGGAAAGUUUCUAUUAUGUAGUGCAUUCAGCAUUCAUGCAUUCUGAGCCCUCAUGUUAGGUUGCAUUGUUCUGCUUGGGAGCCUGUUUGUGACUGCUGGUUUGCUGGGAUUAGCUUUUUUUUGUUAUCUCUUUUAUAUUUGUCUAAAGGUGUAGUAAGAAGUAAAGCGAAUUGAGUAAAAGCACAAGGCCUAUGAAUUCAGAGAGAGAUACAGUACAUAGAUACUCUGGUGAUGGAAGGCUUCUGACACUCGGGGUGCCACGGCUCUGGGCAGGGGGCUCAGGGCUUCUGCCCCACAGGAGCACUGGGGUUCAAGGUUUUAGACCUGGGGGGGAGCACUGGGGCUCAGGGCUCUAGCUACAGGGGGAGCGCUGGGGCUGAAACAGGCGCUCCCCUCAUAGCUAAAGCCCCAGCGCCACCUGUGGGGCUGAAGCCGAGAGCAGAGCUGUGGGGCUGAAGCCCCAAGCCCAGCACCCCACAUGAGGCGGAAACCAGGAGUGGAGCUGCAGGGCUGAGCCCCCACCUGAAGCCCUGAGCAGCCCUCCACCUUGUGGCUGCAGUUCCAACCCCCUGUGGUCGAAGCCCUGAGCCCCAGGGCUAGAGCCCCAAGGCAGUGCAAUAUUUGCUUUUUGUUUGGGUUUUUUGUCUGCGCUGCUGCCUGAUUGAUUUACUUUCAAUUCCACAGGUUGUCCAGUUGACCAGUAAGACACCAGCUCUGAUGCUCAUAUCUGAGGUUCUACCGUAUAGCAAUAAAGGGGAAAAUUAUGGUUAAGUGGAAUUAUUUGAAAAUGUCAUUUGGGCACUUGAAACUAAAGACUAAUAAAAUGUGCUUCAUUUCCUUGCGGGAAAACCUUUACGUGAUGAUAUCUGACAAAUUCACAUAGAUACUGGAAAUUAAAGCUGACUGCAACUGAAGUGUGGUAUUUACUUCAGAUUUCUAACAUGGUCUUGCUGGCUAGUGUUUUAAAAAAAAAAGGCGGGGGGGGGGGGCGUCUUGCUGUUAAUACAAAGGUCCCUAAAAGCUAUAGGAAAACUACAUUAAUAUUUUGCCAGCAAGAAUGGUCUAAGCAUGGUUCUUGACUGACAGUUUGAACUGUAGUCAUACCAGGCAUUAACAUUCAGUGGAAAACUAUUUUCAGCAUCAAUGAGAGAGUUCAGAGAUGUUCAUAAAUUAUGUUGCCUCUACUCUGGAACAUGGUAGUAAGAGUGCUGUUUAACAACCUAAUGCUGGUACCUGAGGUUGCAUCUACACAGGCAGUUUUGAAGGAAACCUCCCAUCACUGCAUCAUCACCAGUACAUCUCCAUUGGUUGUAACAAUGGUGGGAGUACUAACGCAAAUUGUGGUCAAAAUGUUGUAGGCUGGUCUACACUAAUGCUCCCACUCCUGGAAGUUUUCUUGAAAAUUGCCGUUGUGGAUAAGGCCUGGAAUGUUACCAAGAACACAACUGCCAUACUACAGUGAUGGUCAGUGAAUAGUGUUGUGAAUUAGUACUCCUCAAAACAUACACAUAGCUAACCAGCUCUGUAAGCACCCCUGCAAAUGUUAUAAAGAUCAGCACUCUUUAAAACAAAUGGAACUUAGGCAACAUACUGUGAUGUAUAUUUGCUUUUCAUCCAAAAACUGCUACUGUAUUUUGCAUAACUUAAAAAGGAGAGAAUGUUCUGUCAGGGCAGGCAGUCCUGUUAACAGCACCCAGCAGUAAUCCUGAUCUGUAGAAACAAAGGUGUGAACAAGUUUCUGAAUCUUGUAAAUAUGCAGUCGCUAGCAGCAUUUCAGGGUUAUUAAAAGAGGUGGUGAUGAAGAGCUUUACAACACAUGCUAUUCAAAGGCUUAGAUGCUCCAUUGUAAAAACUCAAAUGCCUGAACAAAUAGGAGGCACAGGGAUAAAGUAUAUGCUUGUGUCCACUCAGGUCCAGUGCUUUGAAAAGGCAUCCAGAAUGUACAUGCAUUGAGGUCUAGGCUCCACUACAACGUUAGGUCAAUGUAAGCCACCUUGUGACAACCUAGUUGUGCAUGUGUCUACACUUACAUUUGUCUCCUACCUAGGUAAGCACGCUGUUACAUUAAUGCAGUAACACCAUCUCCCCAAGUGGCAUUGGGCCAUGGUCAAUGUACUGAGGUCAACACAGUACAAGUGUAGAUACCGCAUUUCCUAUGUUAACCCUAACAGACUUCCUGCAGCUGUCUCACAAUGCCCGAAACCAACUACUCUGGUCAAAAUUGUGAAUUUCAGUGCCUGGGGUCACAGAGACCGGACGCCUCCCCCCGACACCAACCUGUUAAAGCACUGCAGAUUUUUGAAAUGCAUUUUCCUGAUUGUCUUGUUUGACGAGCACAACUAGCAGUUCUCCAAUGUUGUGUGUAACUGCCCAGCUGACCAUGCCAGCUACAUGCUCCAGAUGCAUUCUGGCUUGGAAUAGACCGAAGAUAUUGGCUUUCCUGGGCCUGUGGGGAGAAGAGGACAUCUACGAGCAGAUUGCAUGGGAUGCAGGAGAAGGCAUAUAUGAGAGAGCAGCGGCAGUGCUACAUGAAAGCAAAGGAACUGCGGCAGGCAUAUCAGAAGGCCAGGGAGGCCAACAGUUGGUCCAGUCUGAGCUGCAGACCUGCAGCUUUUACAAAGAGCUGCAUGCCUACUUGGCAGAGACCCCACCGCCACUCUGCACACCACCAUGGAUCUCUCCGAGAAGCCCAAGUCACAGGCCCCUAGUUUGAACAGCGAAGAAGAGGAGGAGGAUGGGGGACAUGUGACUGAUGGGUCCGGCUGCACUGCGAGCCAGGACCUGUUUAAGACUCCACUGCAAUCCAGUCAGUCCUGGCAGUAGAGCAUGGACAAGCCCAGAGCAGGGGAAGGAACCUCAGUUGCUGCUGUUGUGGCUGUGAGAGAUUGCUCUUCCAUACCUGCCAAAUGCUGAGCCAGAUAAAGAGGA